UGGGGAAUUUUGGACAAUGGGCGAAAGCCUGAUCCAGCAAUGCCGCGUGUGUGAAGAAGGCCUUCGGGUUGUAAAGCACUUUUGUCCGGAAAGAAAUCCUUGGCUCUAAUACAGUCGGGGGAUGACGGUACCGGAAGAAUAAGCACCGGCUAACUACGUGCCAGCAGCCGCGGUAAUACGUAGGGUGCAAGCGUUAAUCGGAAUUACUGGGCGUAAAGCGUGCGCAGGCGGUUUGCUAAGACCGAUGUGAAAUCCCCGGGCUCAACCUGGGAACUGCAUUGGUGACUGGCAGGCUAGAGUAUGGCAGAGGGGGGUAGAAUUCCACGUGUAGCAGUGAAAUGCGUAGAGAUGUGGAGGAAUACCGAUGGCGAAGGCAGCCCCCUGGGCCAAUACUGACGCUCAUGCACGAAAGCGUGGGGGAGCAAAACAGGAUUAGAUACCCUGGUAGUCCACGCCCUAAACGAUGUCAACUAGUUGUUGGGGACUCAUUUCCUUAAGUAACGUAGCUAACGCGUGAAGUUGACCGCCUGGGGAGUACGGUCGCAAGAUUAAAACUCAAAUGAAUUGACGGGGUCAUAGCUGUUUCC
rnacentral:rRNA from 1 species